rnacentral:rRNA from 1 species
GUGAGCGGCAGACGGGUGAGUAACGCGUGGGAAUCUACCUAUAUCUACGGAAUAACACAGAGAAAUUUGUGCUAAUACCGUAUGUGUCCUGAGGGAGAAAGAUUAUAUCGGAUAUAGAUGAGCCCGCGUUGGAUUAGCUAGUUGGUAGGGUAAAGGCUUACCAAGGCGACGAUCCAUAGCUGGUCUGAGAGGAUGAUCAGCCACACUGGGACUGAGACACGGCCCAGACUCCUACGGGAGGCAGCAGUGGGGAAUAUUGGACAAUGGGGGCAACCCUGAUCCAGCCAUGCCGCGUGAGUGAAGAAGGCCUUAGGGUUGUAAAGCUCUUUCACCGGAGAAGAUAAUGACGGUAUCCGGAGAAGAAGCCCCGGCAAACUUCGUGCCAGCAGCCGCGGUAAUACGAAGGGGGCUAGCGUUGUUCGGAUUUACUGGGCGUAAAGAGCAUGUAGGCGGAUAUUUAAGUCAGAGGUGAAAUCCCAGGGCUCAACCCUGGAACUGCCUUUGAUACUGGAUGUCUUGAGGAU